UGCUCGGGCUAUCAUGCAGUCGACGAACUCUGGUAUUGAUUGGUGCUUGCAUCAUGAUUUACAUUUGAGUGAGUGGCGAACUGGUGAGUAACACGUGGGAAACCUGCCCAGAAGCGGGGGAUAACACCUGGAAACAGAUGCUAAUACCGCAUAACAACUUGGACCGCAUGGUCCGAGCUUGAAAGAUGGCUUCGGCUAUCACUUUUGGAUGGUCCCGCGGCGUAUUAGCUAGAUGGUGGGGUAACGGCUCACCAUGGCAAUGAUACGUAGCCGACCUGAGAGGGUAAUCGGCCACAUUGGGACUGAGACACGGCCCAAACUCCUACGGGAGGCAGCAGUAGGGAAUCUUCCACAAUGGACGAAAGUCUGAUGGAGCAACGCCGCGUGAGUGAAGAAGGGUUUCGGCUCGUAAAACUCUGUUGUUAAAGAAGAACAUAUCUGAGAGUAACUGUUCAGGUAUUGACGGUAUUUAACCAGAAAGCCACGGCUAACUACGUGCCAGCAGCCGCGGUAAUACGUAGGUGGCAAGCGUUGUCCGGAUUUAUUGGGCGUAAAGCGAGCGCAGGCGGUUUUUUAAGUCUGAUGUGAAAGCCUUCGGCUCAACCGAAGAAGUGCAUCGGAAACUGGGAAACUUGAGUGCAGAAGAGGACAGUGGAACUCCAUGUGUAGCGGUGAAAUGCGUAGAUAUAUGGAAGAACACCAGUGGCGAAGGCGGCUGUCUGGUCUGUAACUGACGCUGAGGCUCGAAAGUAUGGGUAGCAAACAGGAUUAGAUACCCUGGUAGUCCAUACCGUAAACGAUGAAUGCUAAGUGUUGGAGGGUUUCCGCCCUUCAGUGCUGCAGCUAACGCAUUAAGCAUUCCGCCUGGGGAGUACGGCCGCAAGGCUGAAACUCAAAGGAAUUGACGGGGGCCCGCCAAGCGGUGGAGCA
rnacentral:rRNA from 2 species